rnacentral:lncRNA from 1 species
UUUUUAAAUAUUACAAAAUUUGGUUUCUAAACAUUUCUAAUUGUGUAGAUCAACUUCAAUGGUGCCGAUUAUCAAUUUGAAGUUCCAAUCAUUCAAAUCGACUUGAUAGGACAAGAGUCCCAAUCCUAUUAAUAGGAUAGUAGCCGGACCCUAUAUAUAUAUAUAUAUAUAUAUAUCAAUAAUUCUGAUUUGACAUUUGAGUUCUUUGUCGGUAUUUUUUAUAAAAUUUUUAUUUUUAGCCGUUCAUUUUUAGGCUACUCGUUCACUAGACAAACAAAGUAAAAAAAUUAUUAAAUUUGAUUUCUAGAUAGCUCCAAUAGCGUAGAUCAAGUUUAACGGAGCCGAUCACUAUGCUAUUAAAAGGAGCCUAGCUUUUAUAUAUAUAUAUAUAUAUAUAUAUAUAAUGAGUCCGGCUACUAUGCUAUUAAUAGUACGAAGCAUUUGGUGCUACCAAGUUUUCCGCCGUUAGAUCAACCCUUUUGAUCAUUUUCACCCGUUAGAUCAUAUUAUUUAACCAACCACCCACUCAACCCUAGGGGACCCACAUCAUUCUAACCCACAUCUCUUAAUCCAAUGGCUAAAAACUUGGUAGCACCAAUGACUUGGUGCUAUUAAUAGCAUAGUAGCCUAGUUCAUAUAAAAUUGAGUUAGAAUACUAUUGAUAGUAAACAUGCUCCGUUACUACCCAUUUGUUUUCGAUGAUAGAGCCUCCAAAUCAACAAUCGGCACCGUUGAACAUGAUCUAUACUACUUGAAGUGUUUAGAAAUCAAAUUUCAAAUCUUUUCGACAUCAUUUGCCUAAUGAUCAAAGGGCUUCAAAAUUUGUAAUUUUAAUGGUUGAUAUGAGACGUUUUCUUGUUUAACGGCGUAAGAAUAUUCAAAUAAAUUGAAUUUUUGUUAGAAAAUUUUUUAAGCUAUUUAAAACAAGAUCUAUACUCUUGAUCUUGAUUACAAGACUCCUAUCAUCAUUUUUUAAAGAAUAUUCAUUUUCAGCCGAUCAUUUUUGUGUCCACUCGAUGGAUAAGAGAACAAUGUCGAAAAUGUAUAAAAUUUGAUUUUUAAAUACUUCAAGUGGUAUAGAUCAUGUUCAACGGUACCGAUCGUCGAUUUGGAGGCUUCAUCAUCGAAAACAAAUAGAUGGCAACGGAGCCCGUUUACUAUCGAUAGUAUUCUAGCUCAACUCUCUCUCUCUCUCUCUCUCUCUCUCUGUAUAUAUA